AAUUGAUCUGGUUCAGGACAAACGACUGGCGGCGUGCCUAACACAUGCAAGUCGAACGAAGCACUGUGGAAAGAGACUCGGUCAAUUGAAACUUGACUUAGUGGCGGACGGGUGAGUAAUGCAUGAGCAACCUGCCCUGGAGAGGGGGACAACAGCUGGAAACGGCUGCUAAUACCGCAUGAAGUUGCGGGAAGGCAUCUUCCUGCAACCAAAGAUUUAUCGCUCUGGGAUGGGCUCAUGUCUGAUUAGAUAGUUGGCGGGGUAACGGCCCACCAAGUCUGCGAUCAGUAGCCGGACUGAGAGGUUGAACGGCCACAUUGGGACUGAGAUACGGCCCAGACUCCUACGGGAGGCAGCAGUGGGGAAUAUUGGGCAAUGGGCGCAAGCCCUGACCCAGCAACGCCGCGUGAAGGAAGAAGGCUUUCGGGUUGUAAACUUCUUUUAUCAGGGACGAAGAAAGUGACGGUACCUGAUGAAUAAGCCACGGCUAACUACGUGCCAGCCGCCGC
rnacentral:rRNA from 1 species